CCAGCAGCCGCGGUAAUACGUAGGGGGCAAGCGUUAUCCGGAUUUACUGGGUGUAAGGGAGCGUAGACGGCACGGCAAGCCAGAUGUGAAAGUCCAGGCUCAACCUUGGAACGCCACUUGAUACUGCUGUGACUAGAGUCCGGUAGAGGAGUGUGGAAUUCCUGGUGUAGCGGUGAAAUGCGCAGAUAUCAGGAGGAACACCGACGGCGAAGGCAGCACUCUGGGCCGGUACUGACGCUGAGGAGCAAAAGCAUGGGGAGCGAACAGGAUUAGAUACCCUGGUAGUCCAUGCCGUAAACGUUGGGCACUAGGUGUGGGGCCUUAUCAACCGGGGUUCCGUGCCGUAGCUAACGCAUUAAGUGCCUCGGCAUGGAGAGUACGGACAUUAGGCUAAAACUCAAAUGGAAUUGACGGGGGCCCGCACAGCAGCGGAGCAUGUAGCUUAAUUCGAGGCAACGCGAGACCUUACUGGGUUUGACAUGUAGGAAACGCAUACAGAUAUGGUGUCCUUCGGGGCCUCACAGUGGGUGCAUGGCUGUCGUCAGCUCUUGUCGGGAGAGUGUGGGUUAGUCCCGCAACGAGCGCAACCCUUGUCUUAGUUGCCAGCACAUUAUGGUGGGAACUCUAAGGAGACUGCCGGUGACAAACCGGAGGAAGGUGGGGAUGACGUCAAGUCAUCAUGGCCCUUAUGGCCUGGGCUACACACGUGCUACAAUGGUGAAUACAAAGGGUUGCCAACCCGCGAGGGGUAGCUAAUCUCAAAAAAUUCAUCUCAGUCCGGAUUGGAGUCUGCAACUCGACUCCAUGAAGUCGGAAUCGCUAGUAAUCGUGAAUCAGCAAUGUCGCGGUGAAUACGUUCCCGGGCCUUGUACACACCGCCCGUCACACCAUGGGAGUUGGCUGCACCAGAAGUAGUUAGUCUAACCUUCGGGAGGACGAUUACCACGGUGUGGUUAAUGACAGGGGUG
rnacentral:rRNA from 1 species